rnacentral:rRNA from 1 species
GUAGUCAUAUGCUUGUCUCAAAGAUUAAGCCAUGCAUGUCUAAGUAUAAGCAAUUAUACCGCGAAACUGCGAAUGGCUCAUUAUAUAAGUUAUCGUUUAUUUGAUAAUACUUUACUACUUGGAUAACCGUGGUAAUUCUAGAGCUAAUACAUGCUAAAAAUCCCGACUUCGGAAGGGUUGUAUUUAUUAGAUUAAAAACCAAUGCCCCUCGGGGCUCUCUGGUGAAUCAUGAUAACUAGUCGAAUCGACAGGCCUUGUGCCGGCGAUGGCUCAUUCAAAUUUCUUCCCUAUCAACUUUCGAUGUUUGGGUAUUGUCCAAACAUGGUGGCAACGGGUAACGGAGGGUUAGGGCUCGACCCCGGAGAAGGAGCCUGAGAAACGGCUACUACAUCCAAGGAAGGCAGCAGGCGCGCAAAUUACCCAAUCCCGACACGGGGAGGUAGUGACAAUAAAUACUGAUACAGGGCUCUUUUGGGUCUUGUAAUCGGAAUGAGUACAAUUUAAAUCCCUUAACGAGGAA